rnacentral:rRNA from 1 species
AGUGAACGCUGGCGGUAGGCCUAACACAUGCAAGUCGAACGGCAGCACAGUAAGAGCUUGCUCUUACGGGUGGCGAGUGGCGGACGGGUGAGGAAUACAUCGGAAUCUACUUUUUCGUGGGGGAUCACGUAGGGAAACUUACGCUAAUACCGCAUACGACCUACGGGUGAAAGCAGGAGAUCUUCGGACCUUGCGCGAUUGAAUGAGCCGAUGUCGGAUUAGCUAGUUGGCGGGGUAAAGGCCCACCAAGGCGACGAUCCGUAGCUGGUCUGAGAGGAUGAUCAGCCACACUGGAACUGAGACACGGUCCAGACUCCUACGGGAGGCAGCAGUGGGGAAUAUUGGACAAAGGGCGCAAGCCUGAUCCAGCCAUACCGCGUGGGUGAAGAAGGCCUUCGGGUUGUAAAGCCCUUUUGUUGGGAAAGAAAAGCAGCAGGUUAAUACCCCGCUGUUCUGACGGUACCCAAAGAAUAAGCACCGGCUAACUUCGUG